AUAAGAAGAAAUACUCGUACGGGGUUUUACAUCCCCCAGGACAGCAAAGGCCUCUGCUUUUGCCGGAAGGGUCCCAGAAUUGUUUCGGGUUCCCUUUGGUAACCAACCAUGUGGCCUGCCAUCCUGUCAUGCACCAAAACACAAUUAAUACAUCACCCAUAGCCGCGUAGUUUCCUCCCAGAAAGACGCUUGGUGGAGGAUCCUGACAGGCCUGCCGAGAGUAUCCCGUGAUGUUCUUGUGUCACGGAGAACCCGAGAACUCCGAGAAGGGGAGGGGGGAAAUAGCCAUUUGGGGCAGACGCGCUGCAGGGACGCGGAGGCGCUGUGAAGAUUGUGUAGAGCACACCUCCCUGUGAUACCAUAGAGGUGCGGAAGAACGGAGCGACCACCCCAGUUACGGGUGGUGGGAGGCGGUGUUGCCUCUCGGUGCUAAGCGAAGGGUCAAAUCCCCUAGGAUGCAGCGUGAUAAAGAACAAAUGACGGCUGCUAAUGGGCACCCCACGGGGCCGGCCGCUCAUCCUGCGUCACCUGCCUUGGCAGAGUAAACGACCAGCCGCGUCCGGGUUCCACUUGGGGGCAGGCGAAACUUGGGCAGAGCUGGGGAACAGUGAGGUUGCAGCAGUGGCGAUGCGGUACCGCAUCGGUGUGUGUUGGGCACAUACCACGGCGAGCCGCCAAAAGUUCAGAGCCACAAUGUAAACUACUCACUAUUCGUCACUGAGCAUUCACAGUAUUGAAUGAGUUGUCCCCGAACAUUGUUUGAAGCAGUGUCGUGAAAGAAUUCGCUUGCAUGUUCGUAACACCAUUGUCCCGAGCAUGAUCGAGCCAUGGUUCGUCAUCAUGUCCGAAGCUCUGGUGUGGACGUUCAUGCCGAACUUGACAUAGCAGAGCAGUUACCAAGACACUUACGUGCCAUUGGUAGUGAAGAGUAGUUCUCGGUCUGUGACGUUAAUAAUGAGUGGAACACCGACCAGAUCUUACGUUUGAUAGACACAUCAGUGUCACCCUGUAUUCUGGGAUUCAGCCGUCACAGAACAAAAGAGAAAAAUUAGAAAAAAAUGGAUUCAUGGAAGGAAAUCAGUAUGCCCUACAGGUGGACCGUGUCGAUGUCAUGAAGAAAAAAGAUACUCUGCUUAUCCAGUUCGAAGGAGAGAUGAAAAAAUUAAGACAACAUCGUCAAGAUGAAGAGGACGCAUUUACAUCGACAUAGUUUGCCAUCAAAAGUAUUGCUUUCAUAUUAGACAGAAACAAACCACGGAAGCUGGAAUGCAGAAGUUCCAGUGUUACCUCUGCAACUUAGCAAUUCGCUGCUGAACUGCCAGCCUCAGCAAACCGCGUUGGCCCACCUGCUGGACUUUCGGUGCCUGGCAGCUGGAAUUGCCAGCCGCGCCAACAAGACCGACAGGUUGGUCUUGUCCGGCCGCCCGCGGUUUUGUUUUAACAAGAUUCCCAGAGUUGGUAAUAUGCACAAAUCUCUCGGCCCACCCAUCACAUACUGUUAGUAGACUAUGAAUACAGUAUCAUUAUCAGCACAAUGUGAAAUUAGUCCCAUCAUCACUCAGAGGAAAAGAAAUUAAUUUUAAUUUCAUCAACUCAAGCAACGUUGAGGUUAAGUAUAUACAUAAUGUAAAGUGUGCUUUCAAAUUUGAAUUUUCAAAAAGAAAAAAAUGGUAGUUAACUUAAAAUUAUGUGGGGUAUCCCUCUCAAGAGUUCAAGUCAUAGGAAGGAGGAAAAACAGCAGGCAGUCCCAGAGUUUACCAGAAAAAAAAAUGUAGGCACUGUCCAUCUACAAUGAGUACCUAAGGUUAUGAAUGAACAUAUGAGGCAGUAAUGAAACAUAUCCCAAAUUAUAUAAUAAUCUACUUCAGUAAAUAUGCAUAGCCAAGAGUUAUAACAGAAUGUGAAUAUACAGCAUGUGUUGUAGUUUACAUUUUUUGGUUUUAUAAUAAGAGUGUAUAUGAUGUGUGUAUGAGUGUGUGGUGCUAUCUCAUGGGGCACCCUGAAUGUGAUCGCCAGCCUAUAUAGAUAAAUUAUACAGAAGACAGGUUUAUGAAAAUUAUGGAUCAUUUUCAAAGGCAAGAUGAACAAUCUUAAUAAAAAUUUUAAACCAUAAUACUACAUAUAACACCUGACAAUGCAGGUUGGGAAGGCAAACUUAAGAUCAACAUAUCACUAUCAUUAUCAUGUAACUUCACCAUAAGUAGGUGUAGUUUCAGUCAUGAAUUAAUUUUUUCAGGGUCAAGAAAGAAAUAUCAAAUAUUUAAUAAAGCUCAUGUAAAACCUA